GGAAAAUCCGUCAACUUUAAAAAUCGUGAGGGUUCAAGUCCCUCUAUCCCCAAAAAAACAUAUAUUGACUCCAAAAAUAUUUACACAUCCCCUCCCCUUUUUUUUUAGCAGUUCCAAAUUCCUAUAUCUUUCUGAUUCUUCGAUAAACGUAUUGGGCGUAAAUGACUAUCUCUUAUCACAUGUGAUAUAGAAUACACAUCCAAA
rnacentral:lncRNA from 1 species